ensembl:misc_RNA Metazoa_SRP Metazoan signal recognition particle RNA
GCCGGGUGUGGUGGCGCACAUCUGUAGUCCCAGCUACUCAGGAGGCUGAGGCUGGAGGAUCACUUGAGCCCAGGAGUUUGAGGCUGCUGUGAGCUGUGAUUGCACCACUACACUCCAGCCUGGAUGACAGAGUGAGACCCUGUCUCUA